rnacentral:rRNA from 1 species
AUUGAACGCUGGCGGCAGGCCUAACACAUGCAAGUCGAGCGAGCGGAGGGCGGUGGAGUAAUGUAUGGGGACUGCCCGAUAGAGGGGGAUAACAACUGGAAAAGGUAUCUAAAAACGCAUACUAUCGGAUAACGGAUAUGGGAUUAGCUAGUGGGUGAGGUAAUGGCUCACCUAGGCGACGAUCCCUAGCUGGUCGGAGAGGAGGAUAAGCCACACUGGGACUGAGACACGGCCCAGACUCCUACGGAGGCAGCAGUGGGGAAUAUUGCACAAUGGGCGAAAGCCUGAUGCAGCCAUGCCGCGUGUAUGAAGAAGGCCUUAGGGUUGUAAAGUACUUUCAGUCGGGAGGCGUUAUCGACAGAAGAAGCCCCGGCUAACUCCGUGCCAGCAGCCGCGGUAAUUC